rnacentral:rRNA from 1 species
CCUGGCGGCGAAAGUGCAGUGGUCCCACCUGACCCCAUGCCGAACUCAGAAGUGAAACGCUGUAACGCCGAUGGUAGUGUGGAGUCCCUCCAUGCGAGAGUAGGACACCGCCAGGU